rnacentral:piRNA from 1 species
UGGAGAUUCACUAGCCAUGGAGGAUAGCCU